AUUGAACGCUGGCGGCAGGCCUAACACAUGCAAGUCGAACGGUAACAGGAAGCAGCUUGCUGCUUCGCUGACGAGUGGCGGACGGGUGAGUAAUGUCUGGGAAGCUGCCUGAUGGAGGGGGAUAACUACUGGAAACGGUAGCUAAUACCGCAUAAUGUCGCAAGACCAAAGAGGGGGGCCUUCGGGCCUCUUGCCAUCGGAUGUGCCCAGAUGGGAUUAGCUUGUUGGUGGGGUAACGGCUCACCAAGGCGACGAUCCCUAGCUGGUCUGAGAGGAUGACCAGCCACACUGGAACUGAGACACGGUCCAGACUCCUACGGGAGGCAGCAGUGGGGAAUAUUGCACAAUGGGCGCAAGCCUGAUGCAGCCAUGCCGCGUGUAUGAAGAAGGCCUUCGGGUUGUAAAGUACUUUCAGCGGGGAGGAGGGGAGUAAAGUUAAUACCUUUGCUCAUUGACGUUACCCGCAGAAGAAGCACCGGCUAACUCCGUG
rnacentral:rRNA from 1 species